UCGGGCUCUUCCUUUUUGCUUCAAAAUCAAGGUAUUUCGCAUUUGGCACUUCCAAAUUUUAGCAGGGGUUGUUUUUAAACGUGUAGGUACCUCAUUCCUUGUGAAAAUCGGGCGGGGAAGGGUUUUAUUUUCGAUUUUUGGGCGAUUUUGGGUAUUGGCCAUGGCUCAUACCCUUUGAGCCUGAGCCCGGCCAUGCCCAAUACCGCCAGAGACCAUAAGGUCUCGCCGUCCCCGCCUGCAACAGCCAGCGCGGGUGCGUCGCCGAAAUCGGAUUUUUCCGAUGCCGGCGACGACAUCCUCGCGGCCAUCGCGUUACAGGACGAAACGACGGACUGGACCGCGCCGCCUGCGGCGGGAGACGAAGACGACCGGCUGUCCUCGGUGUCCCAGGCGACCGCGGUGGCGUCUCCCGCGCUCGCGGGUGACCGCGGCGAGCGGGGGCAGGCUCGCCUUCACGAGAUCGAGGACGAAAUCCAGCAAUACUGCUCGAACGCUGCGAACAAGGUACCCGUCGCGGCGCGCGGCUUCAUCGCGGGCCGGCUAUACGAGAUCGUCCGCAUGUACUCGGACCUGCGGUCGGACGUGUUGGUGGAGCGGGGCGCGGCCGGCGCCCUGCGUGGCGAGUUGGUCGAGGCGCGCCGGGAGGUCGCGGCGCUGCAGCGACGGGCCAUCGUCGCCGAGGGCCGCCUCGACGGCUCCAUCGUCAUGGCACCCAGUCCGAGGAGUGCGGGACGCGAUCCCGGCGCGUCCGCGGCGGCUGCCGGCUCGGGCCCUGGUGUUCCGGCCGCGGCGGCGGGCGCCGUCAGCUACGCCGCGGCGCUGAGGGCGUCGCCCGCUGCGGGGUCGAGCGGCGGGGGCGCGCGGACGGCACCGACUUUCGAGCACGUGGCCUUCCUCACGCCCACGGUUCCGACGACGACACCGGCGCGGGAUGCCUUACGCCUACUGAAGACCAACAUCGACCCGGCCGCCAAGAAUAUCGGGGAGGUCACGCUGCGGCACACAAGUUCAUCUGCAAUUCUACGCUGUUGACGCCGGAGGCACCCUACACCGACUGUCCUUCCUGCGGUACCUGUGCGAUGCGGCAGCAGCUGUCACGGAGACUCGUUUACCAAGCACGCCUAGAAAGGGAUGUCACGAUUUUGUGAGCCAGAGGAAUCUACACCACUUGGGAGCCUGCGGCACUUCUGCAGGCUGAACAGCUCGUCAAAGCAUCUGAUUUGCAUGCUGCGACAAGGUGUGUGCAAGACGGUCACUGCCACUCACAUGAGAUGUCGGUACUCAUUACUUCAUUCCUUGGAAGUGAUAUUCUUGGUCCCAACCAAGCAGCCCGGAAGAAAUCGGAGACAAAUAAAAUGUGCAAAGAAUACUAUUGUGUCUGUUAUUUUAUUGCAUGCAUGCAUGCCAGUUCCCCAUAGUGGGGCUACAGAAAUUCUCUCUAAUGUCUGCCUAAAUGCUGUAAUCCUGUGACCACAAUCUCGACAGACUUUCUGCAGAAAUGCUGUAUCCUGCAGCUACACAGAUUGAGCAGACUUUCUGCAGAAAGGGUGUACCAAUUGGGCGCUGGGAGGUGACAGGGGGUGACAGAAAGUCUGUCACCUGUCUUC